GAGCCGCGCUGGAGGCGCACGGAGAGCAGAGCGGUAAACCGACACCUGUCCGCCACAUUUACCUCCUCCUCUUCCUCCUCUUCCUCCUCCCUCCGGUCUGAGCCUGCAGGAGAUCAACAUUUCUCCAUUUCUCCGGUUAUGAAGAACAAACACAGCCAACAGGUGAAGACAGCGGCUCCGGAGCGACUCGACAUGCCGAGCUUCGAGGUGACUCUCCAACAACUCAACGACCUGCUGACGGACGACAGCGGCUUCUACAGCUGGCCCACCAAACACUUCCAUGAGGUCUACCCACGGAUCUACGUCGGAAACGCGUUUGUGGCAAUGAAUGUGAUGCGUCUCAAGCGUCAGGGCAUCACCCACAUCCUCAACGCCGCUGAAGGGAACUCCUUCAUGCACGUCAACACCAAUGCCGAGUUCUACGCCGACUCAGGCAUCAUCUACCACGGCAUACCAGCCAGCGACACCGACCACUUCGACAUCAGCGUUUACUUUGAAGAGGCGGCAGACUUCAUCGGGAAGGCGCUGGCAUACAAAAAUGGGAAAGGUAAAGUGUACGUUCACUGCAGGGAAGGCUACAGCCGCUCGCCCACCUUGGUCAUAGCCUACCUGAUGCUUCGCCAAAACAUGGACGUCCACACCGCUCUGGCCAUGGUGCGGCAGAAAAGAGAGAUCGGACCCAACGACGGCUUCCUGCGGCAGCUCUGUCGGCUGAACCAGAGGCUCGCUGCUGAGGGGAAGUUCUGGAACAAAUGAAGCGGACAGACUGUCGACGUGAGAGAACAACAGUACGCCUAAUUGCACAUCACUUUCUUUCACUUGUUCUACAGCUUUAAUGAGCCGCAGAUCUGUGAGGGGGUGAUCUGGAAGUGAGGACAGUGGACAGUCAAAGAAAGUCUGUCUCAAACAAAGGCUGACAGCACUGAGUGUAUUGUAUCGUACAAGAUUACACAUCUUACACAACCUUUUAACAAACACAUACAUACAGUAUUUUUAUUGUGCUCAAACACUGGUGAUACAUGUGCUGCUCAUACAAUGUAAUGUGUAUGUGCAGGUGCACUGCAUUCACUGUAGUCUGAAUAUUACAUUUAUCUUCAGGUCAGAGUGACAGUAAAUAAUCAGUCAGCAUUGUAGUCAUGUCCUGUACUGUCUGGUGUCUUCCUGCUGCUCACUUCUCCAGAGAACUAUAUAAACAUGUAGAGGAAUUUAAAUGUGGGAGCUGGUGAAAAACUAGAUGGUGUAACUGAUGUGAUCCCGUCACUGCCUUCUGUCAUCGUCUCCAUCUCUUGUCCUCUGUCUUGGCUUUGUGCCCUCUGUCUUGUCUCACUCCUGCACACACUGCCAAAUCUCUGUCCCAGCCGCUACCAGAGGGGAUGUCAAGUGGACACUGUGAUUUCUCAUAUUGAAUCAGAUAUCAGGGUAUAAUAUUUAAUAAAUGUGUUUAAUACGCUUCAGAGAACUGCACAAUCUGCGUCUAAAAGCCUCAGAGGUACGUCUCAGUGCAAAAUUUGUCUGGUGUCUUGUUGGUGCUUUGUAGGAAUUCUUGACACGAUCUCAUGCUGCAGAAUAAUUAAAUUUUUAUAGUAAAAUAAAGUUGAUCUGAUGUUAUCGGACCAGCAAUAGAACAAAGGAAUGGUUUGGCAUUUUGGUAUAGACCAGGGGUCGGCAACCUUUACGAUUACAAGAGCCAUUUUUGGCCAUAAAAAUGGAAAAAAUCUGUAUGGAGCCGUAAAGCAUAUUUGAUAAUGAAGGGAUCCAAAUUACCCGAUUGCCUCACAGCAAGAGGGUUCCUGGUUCAGACCCAGGAUGGAGGAGCCCCUCUGUGUGGAGUUUGCAUGUUCUCCCCGUGUCAGCGUGGGUUUCCUCCAGGUGCUCCAGCUUCCUCCCACAGUCCAAAGACAUGCAGGUUAACUGGUGACUCUAAAUUGUCCGUAGGUGUGAAUGUGAGUGUGAAUGGUUGUCUGUCUCUAUG